rnacentral:lncRNA from 1 species
UAUGUAGAAUAAGUAGUUAUUUGCUGAAUUGUAGAUACUUAGUUUAUAGUGUAAACAGAGAUAGAUGACUGUUGAAAAGGUAGUUCAGUAGGUAAAAUGGAUGAAUAGUUAGGAAAAGCAGUUUUCAUUAGAGAUGUAGCAGUUGGUAUCUUGUGGUAGCAUAACGAGGAUGGGAGAGAGGAAGUAGGGGCCAGAUUGUGAUAGUGUGAGCCAAGGUAAGCUUGGUGCUACCUCUUUUCUUUUGUUUGUUAUUUUCUUUGAAUAAGAAGAUUAAGAGUUUCUGAAUAUUGUGAAAGUGAAUUAUGGAAUGGAAGUAUGAUUGUUAUUAAAUGGGAAGAAGAAAGAUUGAAUACUGAAAUCUGAUUGUAGUUCAGUAGAGAGAAGGAGUCUGUGUUUGUAUAAAACACUGUAAUGUGAAGGCAGUUAAUAGUGAAGAACUCCAGAGUUUGGAUUAUAGUAUGAUUAUGUCC